rnacentral:rRNA from 1 species
UCCUGGCUCAGGAUGAACGCUAGCGGCAGGCUUAACACAUGCAAGUCGAGGGGCAGCGGGGAGGAAGCUUGCUUUCUCCGCCGGCGACCGGCGCACGGGUGAGUAACACGUAUGCAACCUGCCCCUGUCAGGGGGACAACCCGCCGAAAGGCGGGCUAAACCCGCGUACAUGCCACCGGGGCAUCCCGGAGGCAGGAAAGGCUUCGGCCGGACAGGGAUGGGCAUGCGGCGCAUUAGGCAGUAGGCGGGGUAACGGCCCACCUAACCGACGAUGCGUAGGGGUUCUGAGAGGAAGGUCCCCCACACUGGUACUGAGACACGGACCAGACUCCUACGGGAGGCAGCAGUGAGGAAUAUUGGUCAAUGGUCGGGAGACUGAACCAGCCAAGCCGCGUGAGGGAGGAAGGUACAGAGUAUCGUAAACCUCUUUUGUCAGGGAACAAAGGCGGGGACGUGUCCCCGGAUGAGUGUACCUGAAGAAAAAGCAUCGGCUAACUCCGUGCCAGCAGCCGCGGUAAUACGGAGGAUGCGAGCAUUAUCCGGAUUUAUUGGGUUUAAAGGGUGCGCAGGCGGUCUGUUAAGUCAGCGGUCAAAGCCCGGGGCUCAACCCCGGCCCGCCGUUGAAACUGGCAGUCUCGAGUUGGAGAGAAGUAUGCGGAAUGCGCGGUGUAGCGGUGAAAUGCAUAGAUAUCGCGCAGAACUCCGAUUGCGAAGGCAGCAUGCCGGCUCCACACUGACGCUGAGGCACGAAAGCGUGGGUAUCGAACAGGAUUAGAUACCCUGGUAGUCCACGCAGUAAACGAUGAAUGCUGGCUGUCCGGGGGGAUUGACCCCUGGGUGGCGAAGCGAAAGCGAUAAGCAUUCCACCUGGGGAGUACGCCGGCAACGGUGAAACUCAAAGGAAUUGACGGGGGCCCGCACAAGCGGAGGAACAUGUGGUUUAAUUCGAUGAAACGCGAGGAACCUUACCCGGGCUCAAACGGGGAGUGACUCAGGCUGAGACGCCUGUUUCCCACGGGACACUCCCCGAGGUGCUGCAUGGUUGUCGUCAGCUUGUGCCGUGAGGUGUCGGCUUAAGUGCCAUAACGAGCGCAACCCCCGCGUGCAGUUGCUAACAGAUAACGCUGAGGACUCUGCACGGACUGCCGGCGCAAGCCGCGAGGAAGGCGGGGAUGACGUCAAAUCAGCACGGCCCUUACGUCCGGGGCGACACACGUGUUACAAUGGGUGGUACAGCGGGAAGCCAGGCGGCGACGCCGAGCGGAACCCGAAAUCCACUCUCAGUUCGGAUCGGAGUCUGCAACCCGACUCCGUGAAGCUGGAUUCGCUAGUAAUCGCGCAUCAGCCAUGGCGCGGUGAAUACGUUCCCGGGCCUUGUACUCACCGCCCGUCA